rnacentral:piRNA from 1 species
UUGCAGACAAUGAGCUGUGGGUUGUC